AAAAUUUUGCUCUCCAAUCAAUGCUACACAGUAAAUGUUAAAGUUGAUGGAUAUUACGUAAUGAAUGUGUAGGGUUCGGGAAGUAAUAUUAAAACAAUAUAGGUUUGGGAAUUGGUAGUUAUCGAUUUCUGUUUCGGGAAUGAAGAAGAAUUUGGGUACCUAACCAUUACCUUCCUUGUGUUCUGCAAUACUUUGCCCGCAAAUUUGUCUACUGCUGCAUAGUUUGAGCAAUGAGAGAUGAUUGAUCUAUUACUCAACGCAAUUCACCUUGUAUAACUAUUAUCUGUUCUGCUACCUGACCUACUACCCUUGUAGAUGGUAGAAAUGGUGGAAAUUCUGAUUACGAGGGCUCUCGUCGACAAGGCAGAGAGUAUAUUACUGAAUCCCUGACAUUGAAGAAGAAGAUUACCAUCGUACGCGAUACAGAGAUAUAUUUCUCAAAGAGAAUCUCAGACUAUGAAUCACGAAGAACCUCAGAUCUUGAUUCCAGACCGGAGAAAAAUCCACGAUUUCGUGAGCAUGGUAAUUCUGAUGAUGAUGAUGAGGAAGAUGACCGUUAACAGUUUUGGAAUGCCAGUACGUAAUUUAAGGUGAUGUCAAAAUCCAAUAAAAUAUCGAGUUUUUCAAUUGGAAUAAACAAUAUUUCCGCCCAUCCUGGCCGACGAUGGCUCUGCACAUUGAAACGUCAGCCCUGAGAUUAAUAGUUCAUCUAGAACUGUUCUCACCGGUGCCCUAAAUGAUUAUGAUCAUCUGAAAUAUUGAGCACAAACUCAAGCAUGCCUUGUUUUUUCGGAAAAUAUCGGUUCUAAAUUUUCUUCGGAUGUCUUACAAUGAUUAAUAGUGUGUCACACUCGUUAUUUAUGAUAUUAGGGUAUAGUUAAACAAUAAUGCUAUUUAGGGGCAUCGACAGGUGUGCCAACCAUGUCU